GUGGGGAAUAUUGCACAAUGGGGGAAACCCUGAUGCAGCGACGCCGCGUGGAGGAAGAAGGCCCUCGGGUUGUAAACUCCUGUCUUUGGGGACGAUAAUGACGGUACCCAAGGAGGAAGCCACGGCUAACUACGUGCCAGCAGCCGCGGUAAAACGUAGGUGGCAAGCGUUGUCCGGAAUUACUGGGUGUAAAGGGAGCGCAGGCGGAGCGGCAAGUUGGAGGUGAAACCCAUGGGCUCAACCCAUGAACUGCCUUCAAAACUGUCGGUCUUGAGUGGUGUAGAGGUAAGCGGAAUUCCCGGUGUAGCGGUGGAAUGCGUAGAUAUCGGGAGGAACACCAGUGGCGAAGGCGGCUUACUGGGCACUAACUGACGCUGAGGCUCGAAAGCAUGGGUAGCAAACAGG
rnacentral:rRNA from 1 species